UGUGUUGUCCCAAAAGCAAAUAAUGCUUAUCUAGGGAUAAGCAUUAUUUGCUUUUGGGACAAACA